CCCCACGGUUCGUGUCCGUGUGGCAAGAGAAGACCGUUGUCUCGUUUUGUUACGUUCGUGUCUGGGUAUAUCCGUUGUUCAGUUCUCUGUUUUUUGGUGCUUAUGGUGAAUACGCCGGGACGAUAAGCGAGAGGGAACAAAGGGACCAGCAGCCACGGUGCGGGAGCAAGAGAGAGAAAGAGAUAACGGCUGGUAUCGACCGAGAGUGGAGGUUGCAGUUGACGUGCGAAGGUCCUAGGGGAAUCGGUGUGGCGCCCGGGGUUGGACUUACUGGAAUCUGUAAAAGGACGAAGAGAGGGGGAACAACGAUAUUACGAGGCACAGCGAACGGGCGAAUCACAGCGGGA